UAGAUUAUACUUUCAGGGAUCAUUUCUGCAUUGGUUACUAGAGAAGUUAGAUUUUCUCAGAUCUUGUAGAACAACUGAAACCAUGAAGAGGAGCUAGGGUAUCCUUUUCUGAGUGUGAAGUUGGUUCUAAGUGUUGCUUUUGCAACUCCAUUUUAUAAACAUCGAUCCUCAUUCUUCUCUUCCAUCAGAAGAGUGAGUUGAAGAGGAUGCAGUCUGAGUGGU